GACGAACCGUGCGAACGUUGUUCGGAAUCACUGGGCUUAAAGGGCGCGUAGGCGGCCCGCCGCGUCCGGGGUGAAAGCCCUCGGCUCAACCGGGGAAUGGCGCCCAAAACUACCGUGCUCGAGGAAGACAGAGGUGAGCGGAACUCAGGGUGGAGCGGUGAAAUGCGUUGAUAUCCUGAGGAACACCGGUGGCGAAAGCGGCUCACUGGGUCUUCUCUGACGCUGAGGCACGAAAGCUAGGGUAGCGAACGGG
rnacentral:rRNA from 1 species